rnacentral:rRNA from 1 species
CGGGACGGGUGAGUAAUGUCUGGGAAACUGCCCGAUGGAGGGGGAUAACUACUGGAAGCGGUAGCUAAUACCGCAUAACGUCGCAAGACCAAAGAGGGGGACCUUCGGGCCUCUUGCCAUCGGAUGUGCCCAGAUGGGAUUAGCUAGUAGGUGGGGUAACGGCUCACCUAGGCGACGAUCCCUAGCUGGUCUGAGAGGAUGACCAGCCACACUGGAACUGAGACACGGUCCAG